CACCUAUUAUAUGAAUAUAUCUCUUCCACUCAUUAAUGCUUAGAUGGAAAAAAUACGGCCCCAUGGGAGCCAAUUAUUGAAUCAUGAUGGAAUAAGAUAGCACACAGUGUUUGGACUAGAAAAACAAACAUGAAUAAGGUUGUUAUUGGUCUUUUAAUAACUAUAAUCAACAAAAUCUUGAAGAAAAUAUUAUUAAGCUGAUGAAUAUGUCAAAUGUGAUUUGUCCCUGGUCUAUUUUGAUGUAUUACACAAUGUGCUUGACCUGCCUAACCCGUUACUUAACGUGCCUUUUUGUAGUACAAUUUAAGUGGUUGGAGCUUGUGAAACAAGUUUAGUCGUUAAGACGAAACGGCUUUCUGGGAAUAGACAAUCCAAUCCACAAGACGUGGAUUGUUUCUUUUUAAGAUAACUUGCCUGAAUUUAGUUAAAAUUCCAUUUUAAUGUUUAAUAUCCAUAUAUGGCAUGAAAACAUGUAGAUUGUAGCCUUUCUAUGAAACUAUAGAUAUUCUUAAUUAUAUUAUUGGUAGUAGACAAAUUUUGUUUUGGUUUACAUUAGGACGGGACAAUGAAGGUUAUAUCAUUCUACCAACGACCCUGUGCAUUAUGCAUUCGGUCUGCAAAUGGCGUAAUUUCCAGUGUUACCCUUCACCCGCCCGACUAUUCUGGUGGUACAUUGACUUAUGAGGUGACAAAUUCAUCUGCUUAUCUGUUCCAUUUUUAUAAAAAAAAACUAUUAAAAUGUGAUAUAGGGUCUUAUCUAUUGAUUGUUAAAUUUUCAUGAAAAUUAUACACCUUUUAUUUAAUAUCUUUCUUAAGGGUUGUUUUGAGAUAAUUUCAUUGGUGGGAUCAUUUCUUCCGUCCGAUAAGGGAGGAAUAAGGAACAUAUCGAUUGGGAUAAGUGUUUCUCUGUCAAGCCCUGAUGGGCGGGUCGUUGGUGGCAGUGUGGCAAGUCUAUUGGGGGCUGCCACUCCGGUGCAGAUUAUAGUAGGAAGUUUCUUGAAUGGUGUCAAGCAAGAUCAGAAGACUACCAAGAAACGAAAAAAUAACAUAACCAUCACAAUCCCAACAACCGGUGUGGUUCCCGUUCCCUUUCAUGCAACAGUAGUACCUGUGUCACCACCAGCACCAACAUCGUCACAUACAUAUGUUUUUAUUGUUCACAUAUCUAAAAAGUUGUUUGUAUUCUGAUUCGAUUUUUAUAGAAGGUGUAUGUUGGUCGCUGAUCGAUAUGUCCUAAAUUUCAUAGUCAGUUCCAACUUAGUAUCACUGAAUGAAACUACAGAAGAUAACAGUUUUGAAGAUGCAUCAGGGAUAUAUGUUUUAAUGAAAGUUAAAGAUCCAGCUAAGUCAUGUGCCACCUUUUGGAGACAGAGUACAGAAGUAACAUCCUUGAUGAUAUGUUUGAGGUUAUGGAAUGUGUACAUCAAACACAUAUCUUAGCUGCAAUGGAAUUGGAUUCUGUACAUUCUUAUCCAUGCUCUAAAAUUUUCAACACCAACUUUGGCACUUUGCAUAAGAUUUAUGACAUGUAAAAGAUUUACGUUAAUCAUUUUUUGUCCAGAAGAGGAUACCUCCUGUGCUAAGAGUUGUGACCUUCAACCCUAUAUAUGCAGUUGACUUAAACAUAGAGGUUGUCAAUUCUGAAGAUGAGAUAUGUCAUGCCAGCAACGAAUUGCAAGAUUUUUCAAAUGUUUAUGCAUAAAACUCUACAUAGAUUUAUAGUACAUAAAUAGGCUUUUAUAUCAAUCUAUAUCCCAUUUUAAAUUA